UACCAGCUCUCCGAGUGGUAGGGAUGAUUAUUGGGCUUAAAGCGUCCGUAGCCGGCUUAGCAAGUCUCCUGUUAAAUUCAGCGACCUAAUCGUUGAGCCGCGGGAGAUACUACUAGGCUAGGAGGCGGGAGAGGUCGACGGUACUUAUGGGGUAGGGGUGAAAUCCUAUAAUCCCGGGAGGACCACCAGUGGCGAAGGCUGUCGACUAGAACGCGCUCGAUGGUGAGGGACGAAAGCUGGGGGAGCGAACCGGAUUAGAUACCCGGGUAGUCCCAGCUGUAAACGAUGCGGGCUAGGUGUUGGGGUGGCUACGUGCCACUUCAGUGCCGCAGGGAAGCCAUUAAGCCCGCCGCCUGGGGAGUACGGCCGCAAGGCUGAAACUUAAAGGAAUUGGCGGGGAGCACCACAAGGCGUGAAGCUUGCGGUUC
rnacentral:rRNA from 1 species